rnacentral:rRNA from 1 species
GCUAACUUCGUGCCAGCAGCCGCGGUAAUACGAAGGGUGCAAGCGUUACUCGGAAUUACUGGGCGUAAAGCGUGCGUAGGUGGUUUGUUAAGUCUGAUGUGAAAGCCCUGGGCUCAACCUGGGAAUGGCAUUGGAUACUGGCUUACUAGAGUGCGGUAGAGGGUGGCGGAAUUCCCGGUGUAGCAGUGAAAUGCGUAGAUAUCGGGAGGAACAUCCGUGGCGAAGGCGGCCACCUGGACCAGCACUGACACUGAGGCACGAAAGCGUGGGGAGCAAACAGGAUUAGAUACCCCUGUAGUC